UUAAAUGUAUAUUAUGAUUGAUUCAAAAGGGAAAAGGUAGGCAUGUGAUAAUUGGAAUACAUAUAUAUAGAUGAUUACUUGAGGAGAAAUUAUUAAGGUAAUAUAAAUAUUGUACCUGGUAUGGUUUAACUCAUUAGUUAAGAAUGAAAUUGUUUUUAUGAGUCCAGAAAAUUAUACUUGGAUUAAUUUAUUUCCUUAAACUUUUAAAUUUUAAAAUAUUAUAUUUGACAGAAAUUUAUUUCAAUAUACUAUUUUUAUAAGAAGAUAAAAUAAAGUCAUGGAAUUAAGCUUGAUAAUUGGUACCAUCGUAUGUAUACUUAUUACUUUAUAUAUGUGUAUAUAUUUCGAAAGUUUAAAUAUUAAACUGGAGAUUUGAAAAUUUCGUUUGUUUCUAAAUAAUAAAUAUACACAUGUAUAUACAAUCUGCUGAUGGUAUACACAAUAUAAUAAUCAAAUAUCUUCUGAAGAUAAACAUAAGAGAAAAUAGCACUGGUAAUUCUUAUAAAGACAUGAAGCCAUUAUAAGAAUAAAUCAUGAAACUUAUUAUGUUUUAAAAUACCAUCUGUUUCAAUAAAAUAUACCGUGCAUCGGAAUCUCAUAAUAUAUAAGCAUGAAUAGAGUUAGCUGUAAGCAUAUUUAUUACAUUGAACCUACUUAUAGUAUCAAUGGAGACAAUGAUAUAUUUGAAACUCCAUUCUCCAACCAAAAGAAAACCACAACCAUAAUAAUAUCUAUGCUUAAAUGAAAAAGUUAGGAUAUUGAUAUUCACUGGUAACAACCAGGAUAGUAUUUAGACUUGAAUCUAAGAAACAUGCCUUAGUAUAAAGCUUUGAGAUAAGCCAAUUACUUGCGUAGAUAAAGUGUGAUGGUUAUCGGUAUCCCGUGAGGAUGAUAACUAGAACAGUGUCUGUAUGAUAAAUAAGCAAUAACACUUGGCCACUGUUAUUUCUUGUUUAUUGGUACUACUCGGUUCUAGAAUAUGAUCCAUCAUGAGAAUACUAAUUUCCUUGUUCCUUAAUACAAGCCAUAAUAAAUGAUGUACUUCUGAAAUCAUUAUUUGAGAAAAUUCUAUUUACGGGAAAUACAAUGAAAACUACCUCUCCGGCAAGUCUGGGUAUGAUGUGGUAUACACUCCAGCUUGUCCGGGUGAGAUGGGGGUACCUCUCCUGCGAGACCGGGUGAGAUGGGGUAUAUGUUAUAUUAAUGGAAUUCCCUAAAUAGUACCAUGACUUGAUGUCUGACCUGUUUUUGGAAAUAUGAAUCUGUUAAAUACACUGACCUGAUGAAUGGUGUGUAUAUUACAGAAAUCCAAAGACCAUAUUGAUUGACAAUUAGGGAUAAAUCACGAACAGGUGUGUCAAUGAUAAUUCUAGACUUAAUUAUCAGGAAUCUCUCUCUCGUAUACGUCUAUAAUUCCAAUGUCAAACAUUAUUUCGUUUGAUCAUCAGUCUCGAAACUCGUGCGACAAGAUGAACGAAGGGAACCCUAUAAAUUGGGACUCCAUAAGAUUUCUCUUUGCGAUUAUUAAUGCAUUAGGAAGCCUGUAGCUAAAAGUUGUGCUUAGACACAAAACAUCUAAAAACUUAUGAAGAGUCGUUUCACCUCUUGAAAAGAUAAGAGCAACCACGACUAGAUAUAUUUACAAGAACUCUUUUUCCUACAAUUCUACUAAGAUUUACCAUUCGAAACCCUUAAAUUUAUUUGGAAUGACAGGAAUACAUACCUAACUGAUAAAUCUUUAGUUGUACCUCUUCAAAGUUAUAAAGGUAAAUGAAGAAUUUA
rnacentral:lncRNA from 1 species